rnacentral:tRNA from 1 species
GGGCCCGUAGCUCAGCCUGGUCAGAGCGGCCGACUCAUAAUCGGCUGGUCGCUGGUUCGAAGCCAGCCGGGCCCACCU